rnacentral:rRNA from 1 species
UGCAGUCGACGAAGUUAAAUUAUGCUUGCAUAGUUUUAAACUGAGUGGCGGACGGGUGAGUAACACGUAAGAACCUACCUUUUGGUGAGGGAUAACUACUGGAAACGGUAGCUAAUACCUCGUAUAGCUGAGAAGUGAAAGAUUUAAAAUCGCCAAAAAAUGGGCUUGCGUCUGAUUAGCUAGUUGGUGAGGUAAUAGCUUACCAAGGCAAUGAUCAGUAGCUGUUCUGAGAGGAUGAUCAGCCACACUGGGACUGAGACACGGCCCAGACUCCUACGGGAGGCAGCAGUGAGGAAUUUUCCGCAAUGGGCGAAAGCCUGACGGAGCAAUGCCGCGUGAAGGAUGACGGCCUAUGGGUUGUAAACUUCUUUUCUCAGAGAAGAAUUUUGACGGUAUCUGAGGAAUAAGCAUCGGCUAACUCUGUGCCAGCAGCCGCGGUAAGACAGAGGAUGCAAGCGUUAUCCGGAAUGAUUGGGCGUAAAGCGUCUGUAGGUGGUCUAUCAAGUCUUCUGUCAAAGAUCAGGGCUUAACUCUGGGCAGGCAGGAGAAACUAGUAGACUAGAGUUCGGUAGGGGCAGAGGGAAUUCCCGGUGGAGCGGUGAAAUGCGUAGAGAUCGGGAGGAACACCAAAGGCGAAAGCACUCUGCUGGG